UACGUAGGGUGCAAGCGUUGUCCGGAAUUAUUGGGCGUAAAGCGCGUGUAGGCGGUCUGAUUAGUCUGAUGUGAAAGCCCUGGGCUCAACCCAGGAAGUGCAUUGGAUACUGUCAGACUUGAAUACGGGAGAGGGUAGUGGAAUUCCUAGUGUAGGAGUGAAAUCCGUAGAUAUUAGGAGGAACACCGGUGGCGAAGGCGGCUACCUGGACCGAUAUUGACGCUGAGACGCGAAAGCGUGGGUAGCAAACAGG
rnacentral:rRNA from 1 species